rnacentral:rRNA from 1 species
AUUGAACGCUGGCGGCAGGCCUAACACAUGCAAGUCGAACGAGUUGCGGACGGGUUAGUAAUUUCUGGGAAACUGCCUGAUGGCGGGGGAUAACUACUGGAAACGGUAGCUAAUACCGCAUACCAUCAGAUGUGCCCAGAUGGGCUUAGCUAGUUGGUGGGGUAACGGCUCACCAAGGCGACGAUCCCUAGCUGGGCUGAGAGGAUGACCAGCAACACUGGAACUGAGACACGGUCAAGACGCCUACGGGAGGCAGCAGUGGGGAAUAUUGCACAAUGGGCGCAAGCCUGAUGCAGCCAUGCCGCGUGUAUGAAGAAGGCCUUCGGGUUGUAAAGUACUGUCAGCGGGGAGGCGUUACCCGCAGAAGAAGCACCGGCUAACUCCGUGCCAGCCGCCGCGGUAAUUC